AUAAUGGUGUUUUUAAACACCACAAUUACUUGCUUGGACUUUGUU
rfam:Picea glauca, whole genome shotgun sequence.